rnacentral:rRNA from 11 species
GACAAAGGUCUAAAUACAUCCUAAAAUACACCCAGAUCCUAUCUGAUCUUGGCAGGUAAGUAGGGUCAUCCCUGGUUAAUAGUUGGAUGGGAGAAUGCUAAUUAAUUCCAGGUGCUGUAACCU